UAAACAAGCCCCCACCUCUGGUUUUC
rnacentral:misc_RNA from 1 species